AUGCACAUAUCACAUGAUCACAUGAUCGACCAGACAAUCGGAUGCUGUUAAACAUCGCUGUUCACAAUGCGCUUUUAUUGCAUUGUUUU